rnacentral:lncRNA from 1 species
AAAUCAAGACAGAAACAUGGUCAGUGGUUAUGUAAUGAAGCCCAGAUAAAAGAGAACACACUGCGUGGAAAAAACGAAGAGGUAAUAAGUAAAUAUGUUGACAUUCGUCAUUCAUGGAAAGAGAUAAAUCAGAGAGGACAGGACAUGAAGCAGAAAGAAUUGGUGACUUACAAACUGCAAUAACGGUGAAAGCAUAGCCACUAACACCAAAUGAUUGGUCGCUCACAUUUGAAAUAGAUCCAAGGCAGGCACCAGCAAGAAGUAAGAUCAAAUAAUCUAUAACUUGUAUUUUCGAGUCACGUAAUCGCUGCUUACCAAUUCUGAAAAUUCAUGGUUAUGAAAGAGACAAUUUGUCAGCAAUUAAUGAUAAGAGAUCAUGAAAAUAUACAAAGGUGUAAAGCUCUGAGAACUGGAACAUAAAGACUUGCUUGACACAACAUAUCUCAAGAUCAUUUUUGUUGAAGAUUUCUAAUUGAUAGUUGUAAAUUGUUAUAUUUCUUUUCAAAAAUUGGAAGGAAUGUGAAAGAUAAAUGUAAUGUACCUCCCAAGAAAGUAUCUGUACUGUUUUAAUAUGCCUGGAGUUUUUCGAUGGGACAGAUCUUUGUUCUUCAAAUGCAUUCUUAAUUUGUCAUGAUGCUCCUCAACAUUACUUCUCAUGCCCUGCCAUAACUCCCCAGCAAAAGAAGGUUGUCGCUCGCCAAGAACACGGUUUCUUGUUCCAUUAGUUUGCUCCAUGUCUGCCGUGCUUGUAGAGUGUCUGACUGACUUCUGUCGCAAAUCUUCUGGCACUGGGUAACCAUUAUGAAGCAACCAUCUAACAGGGAGCUCUUCAUAGCUAAUAUCUGCAUUAGGAGUCACUAUACCCUCCAAAAUAUCAAUGAAGUGAUCUGGAGGGGUAACACGCUCUGGGACAUUGAUUCCAAGGCCAGAAAAGUAUUCUUCAACUCUCCUUGCUGGUCCAUGAUAAACCGUAAAACCGCCUUUUGCAAGAAGAACCAAAUCGUCGAACAUUUUGAAUAAGGUGUAGCUGAAACGAAAAAUUGCACAUUAGUAAACAAGAGACAUAAUCAAACAGGCAACCAAGCUAAAAAGAUAAAAGAAUGGAUUUUUGCAUAUGUAUGGUUGGAAAAGUUACCUUGGUUGAUGAACCACCAUGCAGAUGGUCACACCUUCAAGAGCUUCUCUCCUGAGUGCUCUAAGAAGCAGUUGGGAAGAAGAGCUGUCCAAACCAGAUGUUGGCUCAUCUAACAGCAAAACUGAAGGCUCUAUCACCAUUUCUAAUCCAACAUUCACCCUCUUCCUUUGACCUCCAGAGAUUCCUCUCUUUUCCACUGUCCCGACCAAGGAGUUUCGCACAGUCUGGAGCCCCAAGAACUCAAUAACUCUUUCAACAAUUAGAACUUUAUCUGCUUUGGAUAAGUCCACAGAAAGCCUAUGACAGUAGGUAGUCCAUUAUCAAAUUGCUUACAGAUAGUAAGGAAUCUCAGCAUAAGCAACCAAAAUAAUACAACCAGACAAGUAGAUAUACAACUCUAGAAAAUAAGUUUGUCAAUACUUCUUGGAUGAAAUAGUCAGUCUUGAACAUAAAACAAUAUAAGUAAAUUUCAAUUUCUGAGACUUCAUAUCUUUUUCUUCACUGCAGAAUGUAAUCAAAUUAAAUGUUGGUAUGCGCCUAUUUAAAUGUGUGUGUCUAGCUGCUAACUAAAUAUGCACCAGAGGAAGCUUAUGCCAGAAAUUAGCUCAAGUCAGACCAUACAUCAAUUUCCCAUAUCAAGUUGUCACUUUAUCUCUCAAUUGUUUAUCUCGCGCUUUCGAGAAGGUUUCUGAAUUCCUCAACGGUUUUCUCAGAGGGAACUUGACAUAUUCCUCAUUACAUAGUAUAAAAUCUUAGCUUAUUUGUUCAUCCAAAUGUGAUGUCCUUUAGUACCAUCUAUAACUCAAGCUAAUAGCACAUGAUGAUCAUCAUUUAUAGUUAUAACCCUGAUUUAAGAUGUCAGAGAAUCAGUGAACUGCACACAGACACAAGGAACUCUAAUGACUAAUUUCUUUGAGAUGAGUGAAAUUCCCUUGAAUAGUUCAUGUUAAUGCACUGAGAGAAAGAUACUUCAAGCUUGAAUAACAAAGGAAACUAAUUAUGCAAUCCAGAAAAUCGAAGUUUAAAUCUUGUGGUCAACCACAGUCAAGAUGGUCAGAACAGUUACAAGUUAAAGCAUUAAAUAAAAUAAAUUUCAAGUAGAUAAAGAACUAAACAAAGAAGAAAAGUUCAAAUACCUGCAGUUUGCACUGAACCAUAGAUUCUCUUCCACUGUCAAGUUCCCGUGUACGAUAUCAUCUUGAGGCACAAAACCCAUAAUUCUUUUAUAGGACAGAAUCGAUUCAUUCUUUCCAUUUAUUAGAAUAGAACCUGUAGUCUUGCAUCCAAUUGCUUUUCCAGCCAAAGCAGAAAGAAAUGUUGUUUUUCCAGCCCCAGAUGGGCCCAUGACAGCAGUAAUCCGACCAGGCUUAAUAUUUCCAGUGACACACCUCAACAGAUGCUUGUUUUUUGCUUUCAAAGUAAGAUUUAAAUCUUUAAAAGAAACUUCAAUAGGAGGGCGCCUUUUAUUCUCAGGAUUAGUUGCCAUUUUAAUUACACCAGAGAAAGUAAGAUUUUGAUCCUCUUGCUGCUGAGCUUUUUCUUUCUCAAGUUGCACAUAAGCAUACUUAAAAAUCUGGCUGUGAGUGCUUGAACGUUUUCCCUUUGGGAUAUGUUUCUCAACACCAUCACCACCAGAUUCAAAAUGAUGGCCUGCAUGACCAUUCGGGUCUUUUUCAGUUUCAUGUGUUAUCUCCAUGAGAUCAAUCUGGUUAUCUUUUCUUCCUUCUAUAUGAUCAGACGAAGCCAUUGACGUGGUUGGGAUAUGUGAAUGUGAAGUCGAUAAAUCAUCAUCUGUUACAGAUUCGGAUUGAUCCAAAAUCUUGAAUUUUUCUGUACCUGAGUUCUUCACACGUGAGAACUUUCGUGAUAGUUGAACUUGCAAACCACUAGCAUGCUUCUUUGCAGCAUCUUUUGCAGCUUUCCACCUUUGUUGUGCUUUGGCUGUUGCUCUAGCACUUUUUGCUGCUGCCUCCCUUGACUUGGCAAGUCUCCUUUCUCUAGCAGCAAGAACUUGGUCGGAGAAAUUGUAAAUUAUGAGAAGCAAAGUGCUCAAAGCCACCUGCAUAAGCAAAUAAAAGAGCCGGCUCUUAUCCCUCAUAUUACCUUACUCUUACUAGAGUUGAUACAAGACUUCUCUAUUUUCAGAAUUAUCGAUGGAACGCAAGAAAAUAACACUUGAAGACUUAAAUGAAAAGAAAAGGUUGAGCGAAAAUAUAUAACGACGCUUGAUUGGCAAUCUAGAGAUUCAGAUUUUGACUUGGAUAGAUGACUUACCAAAAGCAUUACUCCAUAAGCGUGAAUAUUUUGAUUUGAGGAGUUUGCAUCACAUGAAGUAAGCUUGAAACAUCCUGCAAGAUGUCCAUAGUAGAAUAGCUAAAUAUCAAUAAUAUGUCAAAAGAACAUCUAUAUUCCUUAGACAUCUGUUGGAAGUAUAUGAAAUUCAGCAAAAACACUUACUAUUCUGAGAAGUUGAACCCAUUCUGCAGUAAUUUCUGAAAUAACAGCAAAAUAGAUAGAUAUGAUUAGAAAGCUAGAUAUUCUUUGCCCUCUUACCUAAGAACGGUGAUUAAAUAGUACAGUUUGAACCAAGAAACAUUGGUUUACAACAAAGCAGUGGUUAGAUAUAGGUCAAUACCCAGUAUCACAAGGAAGUUUUUCGGUGCUUGUUGGACAAAAUGAUCCCUCUGAACAAAACAUUUCACUACUACGAUCAACAUCAGCCCACAUAUUUGCUCCUCCACAGGUAUGGUUGGGCCGCCCCGGCGGUAGUUGGUAAAGGUAUCUGCAAAACCAAGAAAAUGAAUAACUUCAUUGAGACUUUAUGCUGAAGACCAUACACAAGUGACAUACAGAGUUAAGUUUUGUACUUACGGUUCACAUACUCCAGUUGUUGCAUUUAACUUAGCAAGAGGACAAUAGGAUCCUAAAGGACAUGCUGGCAGAUGCAAUAAUACAAGAUGAAAACAUUGUUAGAAUGUGAGAGACUUCGUGCACGGCCAAGGGGAGAAGCAUAAGAUCACAAAUCAGCAACUUAUAAGGGUACAAAACAAGCUUAUAAAAGUUCAAAAUUUACAAAAGGCAAUGAAAAUGAUGAAAUUUCUAUAUAUUCAAUAUGCAUUAACAAAACACUUCAACGACUCCACAGUAAUAUAUGUAGAUUAUACAGUCAAAUGGUUAAUAGGAAGCAGUUAUAGAUCAAAAUACUUACGUAUCAUGCAUGUAAGACCCUGAGGACAAAAGAAACCCUCACAACAAGCUUGGCAAUCUUGCACUCUUGAAGGAAUUUGCUGGGAAUUACUAAGGUCAACGUGCUGAUCAGGACCCACACUACAUGCCCAUCCUGGCUCACAACCAGAAGCCCAUGAUGUCAAAUUGCAAUUCUUGUUGAGUUUCAAGAAGGAACCGCUUGCAGGAUUUUGAAGAAUGAUACUAUCAAAGUAAAAGUUGACUUCUGCUGCAGUACACAGACGCUUUGUGAAAUCUCCUGUCGCAAAACCAACACAAGAUAGAAAUCAACACCAUGUGACUGAAGGUAACUAUUACAAAAAUGGAAGAGUUUUCUUUUUUAUUUUUCUUCUUUCUCCUUAAGGAUUACUCAUACCAUUGGUCUUCUGAAAGCAAGAAGACAAGAACUCCAGAUUAGAAUAGUUAAAGGCUCUAUUCCAAUCAGCAUCCCUAAAAAGCCAUCAAACCAUCAAAGUUUCAGACUGAAUGAAAAUCUAAGGAAAAUGUAAAAGGAUAUUAGAACACUUCAAAACUAAGAAUCAUUAAGCUAAAACAAAAAAAGGCGCCAAGCUCAAGAUUUCAUAAUUGAACUUCAUAUCACAUCUCAGAAAUCCAGAAAUAAGUAAAGUGCCAACCAAGAUUCCACAUCCAUUCCAUUUCUCUCAAAUUCUCAACAGCCAAACAGAGCAAAAAUUUGAAAGUACAAGGAUUAAAAAAAAAACUCACGUGUCCCUGGAGCAAAAACGGAAGCGGGUACUGAGUUCUGUGUUAAUGGUUGAACUCAAAUUGGAGAGCUGACCAUUGGCAAUCGACAAGAUAAAUGGA